rnacentral:rRNA from 1 species
UAAAACGUAGGAGGCAAGCGUUAUCCGGAUUUACUGGGCGUAAAGCGCGUGCAGGCGGUGUACCAAGUCGUGUGUGAAAGCUCCCAGGCUUAACCGGGAGAGGCCAUGCGAGACUGGUAGACUAGAGGCGAGGAGAGGCAAGUGGAAUUCCGGGUGUAGUGGUGAAAUGCGUAGAGAUCCGGAGGAACUCCAGUGGCGAAGGCGGCUUGCUGGCCUCGACCUGACGCUCAGACGCGACAGCAUGGGGAGCGAACGGG